CUCCUGCAUGUGACGGACACAGCACUGAUCCUGGCAGCUCCUUACCCCCAGCAGCCCGAAACUCACUCCUUAAUUACACAAGGGAAACCUUUUACCUCCGCAGCCAGAGUCUGGGGGGAAAGGCAGGCGUGGGAAGAUGGGUUCUCUACCUGGCCAGUGCCAUGUUGCCUGUUUCUUUACUGUAACUGUGGUGACAAAGAAAAGGGAAGAUGGAGCCUCCAUGUUGAACAUACCUGGCCCCCAGCACUAACUCCCUCUCUGGAUAUCUGGAACAAGGAGGACCUUAAACUUAACAAUAAAGCCAAUGAUGGUUCUACCAGUCUCCCCAAAGCCUCAAGUUUAAAAGCCAUAUGAACUGGCUGAUAGUGGAAAAUGGAAGCCAUGAGGAAAUCAGAUUAGAGUACUACCUGGUGAAGCCUGGAGGACCUACCAAGAAAAGCAAACUUGGAUCUUUGCAAGGUUAGAAGAACGAAUGGGAUCCAAGAAAAAGACUGGUCAUAUUCAACGGCUAAGAGCGUUGGAGAAGGCCUGUGGAGUCUCAGCAGGUCAGGUCCAUGACUCAUGAGUAGACACCUGUGUUUCUACUGCCUGGUGCCAUAAUCAUAAACAAGGAAGAAACUGAGGACAGGAGGGGCCAAACAAGUUACAGUUUCAUCCCUCCAGAGAGCCAACAGAGUAUUUUGCACGAAGUUGAAGCUAAACAGGUAUUAUGUCCUAUCUCUGGACUGAAUGACUAGAUGCUACUCAGCUUCUGAACUAGAGGAAGCCUGGGACCUUGACCGCACUAAUGCUGAUGACAGCGGAUUUGCAAGUGGCUAGAGGUACCAGAUUUAGCAAAUCAAAAUAUAGGACGUCAAGUUAAAUUUAAGUGUAAGAUAAGCUACGAAUACCUUUUCUAGUAUUAGUACGUCCCAUGCAAUAUACUAGAAAUGUUAUUCGUUAUUUAUGUUAAAUUUAAUUUUAUUAGGGCAUCCUAUAUUUUACCUGUCAAUCCAACCCAUGACCUAGGCAGACACUGUAGAAAAACAAAAGGAGAAUUAAGGAGAUAAAUGAAACACAGGGUGAGCUGAAAAGAGGUGCUCUGUGAAUUUGAGGGUCCAGUAGGAGCUGACUUGUAGGUACUUGGUCUGUUUUGAUGCCCACAACAACCUUGGGGAAGGGGCGGAAUAGCAGAGGGGUAAGCUCUCUGCCCCCCACCAGGGUUCUGCAGGACGCCAGGGCUUUUAUCAGCACCCCUAUGUUCACAUCCUGGCUGCACCCUCCUUGGUUGUAUAUACUCUGGAUAAUUCACUUAAUUUAAAUCUUGCUGCUUUUAUAAAAUUGAUAAAAAGUUAAUAGUGACACUGAUCACACUGAUGUCCCUCAAUGAAUUAUCAAUAUGUUUUUUCUUCCCACCUAUAUUCUUUAUUGAACUCUGUUAUUUUUGAUCCUGGUCUAGAGUAAGCAUUAUGACCAUGCAAGAGUGAAAUGAAAUUUUUAAAAAUAAUUUUUUAAUGUUUUCUGAAUGCUGGGUGUUUUCAAUGAUCAUGCAUGACUGGCAGCAAAGAGGAACGAGGAUGGAUUCGAUAAGGUGCAACAAGUCCUGAACACACACAGAGAACUGGCUGUGAAUCCUGUUUCUGCCACUCACCACUUACUUGUUGGUGAAAAUGCUCAGGAUGUUCACUGCAGCCUGCCUCACCCUGGAAAAGAGAUGUGAGGAUAAUGAGAAAGAAGAGUAUGUUCAGUGCGGAGCAUGCAAAUUUGCAUGAAAACUUCCCAGGCAAAGCAGGAAAGAAACCAGACCUCUUUUCUGCACAAUAAUGGGGCCCACUAACUCUGGGGAAAAGAGUAAUCAGCAAAUGCCUUUCCUUUCUCCUGCUGAUGUUUUGCCCGUACUCAGACCCCUUGACUUCUUAGCUUCUACCCAAAGUGAGCUUGUCAUCAAAGUUCUCCAAAAAUCUGCAGUGUUCUCUUGAGCAAAUCUGCUUCCAAGACUAUAGCGCUCUGAUGCAUUGAGAUGACAGCAAGCGGCAUUUUUCAGUCCUGUUACCCAUAUGGCUGCUACCACUGCAUCCUGUUAAAUAAUGUCUUCAACCCAAGAAACCUGCUUCCUAGGGAAGUUUCUCUCUCUCUGCAUUUGUUCCCACUAGAGAAUGACCAUCACCAGAUUCCUGAACUGAAAAUGCUGUUGACACUUUGGAAACUCGGGCCUCUAUUAAUAGGGUGACCAACUAUCCUGGUUUACCUUGAGUACAGGAUUUUCAAUGCUAAAACCAGAAAAACCAGGAUGGUUGGUCAUCUGCCUCAGACCUAAUAAAUACCAGUCAAUAAUUCAGCCAUGA
rnacentral:lncRNA from 1 species